rnacentral:rRNA from 1 species
CGCAUCUGUGCAUGCAGCAUAUCAAUAAGCGGAGGAAAAGAAACUAACAAGGAUUCCCCUUAGUAACGGCGAGUGAAGCGGGAAGAGCUCAAAUUUGAAAUCUUCAAGGGUUUACCUUACGAAUUGUAGUUUAAAGAAGUGUUUUCUGUUGAGGUUUUGGUAAAAGUUCUUUGGAAUAGGACAUCAUAGAGGGUGAGGAAUCCCGUAUUCUGACCAUUAUUUUCAGCUGUGUGAUACACUUUCAAAGAGUCGGAUUGUUUGGGAAUGCAGUCCAAAAUGGGUGGUAAAUUUCAUCUAAAGCUAAAUAUUGGCGAGAGACCGAUAGCGAACAAGUACCGUGAGGGAAAGAUGAAAAGAACUUCGAAAAGAGAGUUAAACAGUACGUGAAAUUGUCAAAAGGGAAGCGUUUGACACCAGUGUUGUUUUCUCGAAAAUCAAUUAAAAAGAGUUAGAUUUUGUUGUGUAUUGACCUUAACAGCUUGCAUUUCAAUUUUCUUGCUUUUUUUAAUGCACUUUUCGUUUAACAAGUCAACAUCAGUUUCUUUUGUUGUAAAAAGGUCAUUGGAAGGUGGCUUUCUUUUCGGAGAAAGUGUUUUAUAGCCUUUGACUUCUGCAAUCGGAGAGACUGAGGUCUGCAGCGUAGAUCCUUCGGGGUUAGAUACAUUUGUGCUAAGUUAUAGCUUUUUAUAGACAACUUGUUGACUAUGAUUAGUCUUGUAGCUUACUCGCUUAUGCUAUUUUACCUACGCUUAGGAUGUUGAUGUGAUACUGCGAGCA